ACCAGGGUGGUGUAGUGGUUUGAGUGUUGGAUUACAACUCUGGAGACCAGGGAUUGAAUCCCUGCUUGGCCA